rnacentral:rRNA from 1 species
UGAAUUGACGGGCCCGCACAAGCAGCGGAGCGUGUGGUUUAAUUCGAUGCUACACGAAGAACCUUACCAGGGUUUGACAUACAAGUAGUAGGGAAAGGAAACUGGACCGACCCUUCGGGAGCUUGUACAGGUGCUGCAUGGCUGUCGUCAGCUCGUGUCGUGAGAUGUUCGGUUAAGUCCGCUAACGAGCGCAACCCUCGCUGUGUGUUACAAGUGUCACACGGAACUGCCGGUCAUAAACCGGAGGAAGGUGGGGAUGACGUCAAGUCCUCAUGGCCCUUAUAGGUGGGGCUACACACGUCAUACAAUGGCCGGUACAGAGGGUAGCCAACCCGCGAGGGGGAGCCAAUCCCACAAAGCCGGUCGUAGUCCGGAUCGCAGUCUGCAACUCGACUGCGUGAAGUCGGAAUCGCUAGUAAUCGCGGAUCAGCAUGUCGCGGUGAAUACGUUCCCGGGUCUU